rnacentral:rRNA from 1 species
UAUAAAGUGGCGAACGGCUGAGUAACACGUGGGCAACCUGCCCUUUGCACUGGGAUAGCCCCGGGAAACCGAGGUUAAUACCGGAUACUCCAUAUUUGUCGCAUGGCGAAUAUGGGAAAGCUCCGGCGGCAAAGGAUGGGCCCGCGGCCUGUUAGCUAGUUGGUGGGGUAGUGGCCUACCAAGGCAAUGAUGGGUAGCCGGGUUGAGAGACCGACCGGCCAGAUUGGGACUGAGACACGGCCCAGACUCCUACGGGAGGCAGCAGCC